rnacentral:rRNA from 1 species
GAUGAACGCUAGCUACAUGCUUAAUACAUGCAAGUCGAGGGACCGGCGCACGGGUGAGUAACACGUAUCCAACCUGCCCUUUACCCGGCGAUAGCCUUUCGAAUGUAAGAUUAAUACUCAUCACACAGGAUGGGGAUGCGUUCCAUUAGGUGUUAGGUGAGGGAACGGCUAACCAAGCCUUCGAAGGAUAGGCGUUUUGAGAGGAAGGUCACCCACAAUGGAACUGAGACACGGUCCAAAAUGCGACGGGAGGCAGCAGUGAGGAAUAGUGGUCAAGGGGCGCUAGCCUGAACCAGCCAAGUAACGUUAAGGAGGAAGGCGUAGGGGUCGUAAACUUCUUUUAUAUAAGAAUCUGUAUUAUAUGAAUAAGGAUCGGCUAACUCCGUGCCAGCCGCCGCGGUAAUUC